ACAUGGGAACAGGAGGAGGAGGAGGAGUUAGUGGUUCAAAACAGAGCACAGGCACAUCACAUCAAACUGCCUGUGUUAUCAAAGCCUGACUUUGACAUUUAAAAAAAAUAGAAUGCCAAUAAAAUUCCUUGAUCAAAAUCUAGUCAUCAGGCAUUUUUAAAAAAAAAUCUCAUUAUGGCUAUAACGUAUUUAUAAUGAAACCAAUGAGUAGAGAUGAAUGGUAAAAUGAAAUGGUGGAUUAGAAUGCAUGCAAUAUCAGAUAUGUUUAAGAAGAAAGUGAGACACGCCAGUUUAAAAUGGGCCAAUCUCAGUUAACGUUAGUAUUGGCUAAUGUCUCUGCCUUAAUCCAAAAGAGCAUAUUACUCAGUCAGAUCCAUCAAUGAAGUAGAAGGUAUGGAAACAGGAGAUUGAAGAGCUUAUGCAAACAGCCCAUGAUAUUUGAAUCAGCCUGUAAAAAUCAACUCCUUUAUCAGAUUGUCUUCAAAGCCUCCUAUCCUUAUUAGUGAAUAUCUCUGCUAGGUAAUAAAUGUUCCCAGUGAUAGCGUCUCAGUUCCCAGAGUCACAGCUGGACCGGCCUUGUCUUAUAAAUAUAUAAAUGCCAUACAAGGGCUGGGAUUAUUUUAGUGAGGGUUAGGCAGAAUUCCUAUGAAAAACAUAACUCCUUGCCUCAAUAUAUCACUGGCUUAUUUGCAUGUGAAUGGCUAAUUAAUGGUCUGGAGGCUGUAUUGUUGAUACAGAGAGGUGUAUCAGAGUUAAUUAAUGGUCUAGAGGAUGUAUUGUUGAUGCAGAGAGGUGUAAUCAGAGCUAAUUAAUGGUCUAGAGGAUGUAUUGUUGAUGCAGAGAGGUGUCUCAGGGAUAAUUAAUGGUCUAGAGGAUGUAUUGUUGAUGCAGAGAGGUGUCUCAGGGAUAAUUAAUGGUCUAGAGGAUGUAUUGUUGAUGCAGAGAGGUGUCUCAGGGAUAAUUAAUGGUCUAGAGGAUGUAUUGUUGAUGCAGAGAGGUGUCUCAGGGAUAAUUAAUGGUCUAGAGGAUGUAUUGUUGAUGCAGAGAGGUGUCUCAGGGAUAAUUAAUGGUCUAGAGGAUGUAUUGUUGAUGCAGAGAGGUGUCUCAGGGAUAAUUAAUGGUCUAGAGGAUGUAUUGUUGAUGCAGAGAGGUGUUUCAGGGUUUGUACAAUGCCUGUCAAUUAUAACAGGGGAUCACCUCUCUCUUUCAGCUCUCUGAAGAGGCAGGGCUGUCACUUGGCAGAAUGGUUGGUAAAAUGUUCAUUACGACGGGAAAAUGCUUUUUCGUGCUAAAUGAAGAUGCCUUCAAACUGACAAACAAAUGUUUUUAAUUUUCACUUCACAGUCUGGCUGUCACCUGUCCUUAAUUCCAGCUGUCCCUUAAUGUCAUCUGUCCCUUAAUUCUAUCUGUCCCUUAAUGUCAUCUGUCCUUAAUUCCAUCUGUCCCUUAAUGUCAUCUGUCCUUAAUGCCAUCUGUCCCUUAAUGUCAUCUGUCCUUAAUGCCAUCUGUCCCUUAAUGCCAUCUGUCCCUUAAUGUCAUCUGUCCCUUAAUUCCAUCUGUCCUUCAUGGCAUCUGUCCAUUCAUGUCAUAUGUCCAUUCAUGUCAUCUGUCCCUUAAUGUCAUCCGUUCCUAAAUGUCAUCUGUCCCUUAAUGUCAUCUGUCCCUUAAUGUCAUCCGUUCCUAAAUGUCAUCUGUUCCUAGAUGUCAUCUGUCCCUUAAUGUCAUCCGUUCCUAAAUGUCAUCUGUCCCUUAAUGUCAUCCGUUCCUAAAUGUCAUCUGUCCCUUAAUGAAACAUUAACCAGUUGGGGUUUUAUGAAAGAAGAAAAUGGGCUCAUACUUACAUGUAGUGAGUGGUUCAUAACAUACAGUAAUCAAUCUUUCAAUUAAGAUCUGAUUGAUGGAGAUACAUAUGGAGAAAAGCACACACCCAGUCAGUAGAGGAUUGCGGGCCAGAUCUGGUUGCUGGGUGGCACAUAUGGAUCAGUGCUGCCACCGUAACAGUAAAAGGCCAGAUCUGGUCCGAAUGUGGGAGAUGCGACCAGGGCGAGGGCAGGCACACUUUGCUUAUGAGCCAGCUCUAGCUUGUGAUAUGUGACCCUAACAAGAACCCGUAGUUGCUGGGCCACUUUUGAAUAAAUGUGGGCCACAUUCACCCUGCUGGGCAAGGUCUGUCCUUAGCAUGCAGAAGAUCUGAUUUAGGUGUGUAAACCAGAUCUGGCCCACAUACCUCAAGCCAGAGCUGGCCAAGCCCCCGUCCCUGUGAUGGUGACAGUGCUUCAGUACGUCCAGACU